rnacentral:lncRNA from 1 species
GAGCUUCAUACUUGUUCUAGAAGUAGGAAGGAAAGAGCGAUGAAGAACAUCAACGCUGGUUGAGUAAGUGGUGCUUGCACUGGCGGAUCCCAUUCUGCUCAAUGAUUUCUGACGGAUCUGGGAUCCCAGCUCUGUUCCCUUUGUGUUCUGCUCUCCGAUUUCAUCAAGGGACCUUUAUGGAAGCUUCUUGGUAAGUCACCCUACUCAACUCAAAAGGAGGAACAGUUCUCAGAGCUUCUAAGAAUCAUCUCCUGGAUUACAAUCUUCACUUUGGCUUGAAUAAAAUUCCCUUUUGCUUCUUAACUUGAUCCGUUAAAUUUCCAUCAUUUGCUUGGCAUGGUGGGCAGGAUAUCAGAGACACGCACCAGUGAACACCUGGAGUCUGCUCUGAACCUGUACUUGGUACCAGCUGGGCCCUUUGAGCCCCACCAGCUUCUUGGUAUUCCUCCUUCCUUCGGAAUGACCAACAAGAAGCUCCUAUUGACAAAGCUGAUCUAAUUUGAUUUACUGAUGGUUCCUACUUAAAGGAUGAGCAGAGGCAUUAUAGAGCUGGGUAUGAAAUAACAUCCACAGUGAACAUAAAUGAGAGUUCUUAUUUACCAGAAACAAAGUCCACACAACAAGCCAAAUCAAUUGCCUUAACCUGAGCUUUUUAACUGGCUAAAGACCAGCUAGUGAAUAUUUAUACUGACAGCUGCAAUGUCUCACACAAAAAGAAAUAUUCUGCUCUAAUGAAAAUUUAUAAAUGGGAGGGAGAGGAAUGGUGCAAAUCAACAUGUAUCAUUCUGAUGAACAAUUGUAAAUGUGAAAAAAGCAGUGCAGAUCAAAAUGGAAAUAUACUGUUAUGAUGAGAAACUGUACUGGGAGGAAAACAAACUUUCAAAAAAAGAACCAAAAAAAAUCAUUCCAAUGAAAUAUUGUAAAUGAUGGGAAUGUGGUGCAAAUCAGAAUAUAUACCUCCGAU